rnacentral:rRNA from 1 species
CCUACGGGUGACUGCAGUGGGGAAUAUUGCACAAUGGGGGAAACCCUGAUGCAGCAACGCCGCGUGAAGGAAGACGGUUUUCGGAUUGUAAACUUCUGUUCUGAGUGAAGAAUAAUGACGGUAGCUAAGGAGCAAGCCACGGCUAACUACAUGCCAGCAGCCGCGGUAAUACGCAGGUGGCAAGCGUUGUCCGGAAUUACUGGGGGUAAAGGGAGCGUAGGCGGGAAGCAAGGUCAGCUGUGAAAACUACGGGCUUAACUAGUAGACUGCAGUUGAAACUGGUUUUCUUGAGUGAAGUAGGGGUUGGCGGAAUUCCGAGUGUAGCGGUGAUAUGCGUAGAUAUUCGGAGGAACACCGGUGGCGAAGGCGGCCAACUGGGCUUUAACUGACGCUGAGGCUCGAAAGUGUGGGGAGCAAACAGGAUUAGAUACCCUAGUAGUC